rnacentral:rRNA from 1 species
UACGGAGGGGGCUAGCGUUGUUCGGAAGUUACUGGGCGUAAAGCGCACGUAGGCGGCUUUGUAAGUUAGAGGUGAAAGCCCGGGGCUCAACUCCGGAAUUGCCUUUAAGACUGCAUCGGCUAGAAUUGUGGAGAGGUAAGUGGAAUUACCGAGUGUAGAGGUGAAAUUCGUAGAUAUUCGGAAGAACACCAGUGGCGAAGGCGACUUACUGGACACAUAUUGACGCUGAGGUGCGAAAGCGGUGGGGAGCAAACAGG